GAAGUCCCAUACAAGGAAGGAGUAGCGAACCGUCUUGACCCCGAGUCAUGCGUUGCGCAUCGCGAGGUGUGUAGCGAAGCGUUGACAGGGGACACCGGCAGGCCAGCCAUUGAGCCGCGAAAUCAAUAGAAACAGGAUGCCGACGUUGUUCCGCUUAACGGAAGGCAAUACUCAGCAGGGCGCAAUCGCGAGUCCUGCUGUGAUCCUGCGCGGUCGGAGACAC
rfam:Gallionella sp. ShG14-8 contig00900, whole genome shotgun sequence.